rnacentral:rRNA from 1 species
UCUCCUGGAAACGGGUGGUAAUGCCGGAUGCUCCAGUUGAUCGCAUGGUCUUCUGGGAAAGCUUUCGCGGUAUGGGAUGGGGUCGCGUCCUAUCAGCUUGACGGCGGGGUAACGGCCCACCGUGGCUUCGACGGGUAGCCGGCCUGAGAGGGCGACCGGCCACAUUGGGACUGAGAUACGGCCCAGACUCCUACGGGAGGCAGCAGUGGGGAAUAUUGCACAAUGGGCGCAAGCCUGAUGCAGCGACGCCGCGUGAGGGAUGGAGGCCUUCGGGUUGUAAACCUCUUUUAUCGGGGAGCAAGCGAGAGUGAGUUUACCCGUUGAAUAAGCACCGGCUAACUACGUGCCAGCAGCCGCGGUAAUACGUAGGGUGCAAGCGUUAUCCGGAAUUAUUGGGCGUAAAGGGCUCGUAGGCGGUUCGUCGCGUCCGGUGUGAAAGUCCAUCGCUUAACGGUGGAUCCGCGCCGGGUACGGGCGGGCUUGAGUGCGGUAGGGGAGACUGGAAUUCCCGGUGUAACGGUGGAAUGUGUAGAUAUCGGGAAAGAACCACCA